CCCGUCGUUCUCUGUCACAUUUGCUACAGCAAACGGGGAGGGGGGCGGUGAGGAGGGGGCGUCGACGGUGACGCACUUGAGGACGUUGACGAAUGUUGGGAUGCCGGGGACUUAUAAGGCGGAAACAACUUUGUCAUCGACCUCAUCGACGGUGAAAGUCGCAGUGGAGCCGACUGAGCUGAAGUUUACUAAGCAGGGGGAGAAACUCAGCUACAAGGUGAGCUUCUCGUCGGUGUCGCAGCCGUCGGGGUCGUUGGAGUUUGGG
rnacentral:misc_RNA from 1 species